rnacentral:rRNA from 1 species
AUUGAACGCUGGCGGCAUGCUUUACACAUGCAAGUCGAACGGCAGCACGCGCUUCGGCCUGGUGGCGAGUGGAGAACGGGUGUGUAAUAUAUCGGAACGUCCCCCGAAGUGGGGGAUAACGUAGCGAAAGUUACGCUAAUACCGCAUACGAUCUAUGGAUGAAAGCAGGGGUUCGCAAGGCCUUGUGCUCCUGGGGCGGCCGAUAUCUGAUUAGCUAGUUGGUGAGGUAAAGGCUCACCAAGGCGACGAUCAGUAGCUGGUCUGAGAGGCCGACCAGCCACACUGGAACUGAGACACGGUCCAGACUCCUACGGGAGGCAGCAGUGGGGAAUUUUGGACAAUGGGCGCAAGCCUGAUCCAGCAAUGCCGCGUGAGUGAAGAAGGCCUUCGGGUUGUAAAGCUCUUUUGUCAGGGAAGAAACGGUAGAGGCUAAUAUCCUUUGCUAAUGACGGUACCUGAAGAAUAAGCACCGGCUAACUACGUG